rnacentral:rRNA from 1 species
UACAGAGGGUGCAAGCGUUAAUCGGAAUUACUGGGCGUAAAGCGUGCGUAGACGGUUAUGUAAGUCAGAUGUGAAAGCCCCGGGCUCAACCUGGGAAUUGCAUUUGAAACUGCAUAGCUAGGAUGCGGAAGAGGGCAGUGGAAUUUCCGGUGUAGCGGUGAAAUGCGUAGAUAUCGGAAGGAACAUCAGUGGCGAAAGCGACUGCCUGGUCCAGCAUCGACGUUCAGGCACGAAAGCGUGGGGAGCAAACAGG